GGCCAGGCUGCGGGCCCUGGAGUGGCUCCUGAGCGUCUGCAUCGGAGGCUGCCGCUGCGUCUCAUUCAGCACCCCUCCUUCCCCUGACCCCCGGCCUGGUGGCGCCCGCCCCCUCCACCACCACGCCGCCUCUUCCCUCCCUCCGUCCCUUCCUCCUCUCCCUUCUUCCUUCCUCCUUCCCCUCCUCGUUGCCGCCGCCCAGGACCGCAGGCCGGGGAACGCGCUCGGGGUAGCAGCCAGAAAGCAUAACUCCUACUGUAGAACUAAAUGCUCUGUGCAUGAAACUUGGAAAAAAACCAACGUACAAGCCUGUUGACCCUUACUCUCAGAUGCAGUCCACCUACAGCUACAACAUGCGAGGAGGUGCUUAUCCCCGGAGGUACUUUUAUCCAUUUUCAGUUCCACCUUUCCUUUAUCAAGUUGAACUUUCUGUGGGAGGGCAGCAGUUUAAUGGAAAAGGAAGGACAAGACAGGCCGCAAAGCAUGAUGCUGCUUCUAGAGCAUUGAGGAUUCUGCAGAAUGAGCCCCUUCCUGAGAGGCUGGAGGUAAAUGGAAGAGAAUCGGAAAAAGAAAAUCUCAAUAAAUCGGAAAUAAGUCAAGUGUUUGAGAUUGCACUUAAAAGGAACUUGCCUGUGAAUUUUGAGGUCGCCCUUGAGAGUGGCCCGCCUCACAUUAAGAGUUUUGUGACCAAGGUGUCAGUUGGGGAAUUCAUAGGGGAAGGUGAGGGGAAGAGCAAGAAGCUUUCGAAGAAGAACGCUGUGAUUGCUGUCCUUGAGGAGUUGAAGAAGCUCCCGCCUCUGCCCACAGUUGAACGUGUGAAACCCAGAAUCAAAAAGAAAACCAAGUCCAUAGUCAAGCCUCACACAGGCCCAGACUAUGGCCAGGGGAUGAAUCCAAUCAGCAGACUGGCCCAGAUCCAGCAGGCGAAGAAGGAGAAGGAGCCGGAGUACACACUCCUCACGGAGAGGGGCCUUCCGCGCCGCAGGGAGUUUGUGAUGCAGGUGAAGGUCGGAAACCACACGGCUGAAGGAUCCGGCACCAAUAAAAAGGUGGCCAAAUGGAACGCAGCCGAGAACAUGCUGGAAAUCCUUGGUUUCAAAGUCCCACAGGCUCAGCCCACCAAGCCAGCCCUCAAGUCAGAGGAGAAGACACCUGUGAAGAAACCGGGAGACAGAAGGAAAGUGACCUUUUUUGAGCCUGGCUCUGCGGACGAAAAUGGAGCUGGUAAUAAGGAAGACGAGUUCAGGAUGCCUUAUCUCAGCCACCAGCAGCUGCCUGCUGGGAUCCCAUGGUGCCCGAGGUGGCCCAGGCCGUGGGUGUCAGCCAAGGACACCACACCAAAGAUCUCUCCAGAGUAGCUCUGAAUCCUGCCAAGGCCACGGUCACGGCCAUGAUCACCCGGGAAUUGUUGUAUGGAGGCACUUCGCCCACAGCUGAGACCAUUUUAAAGAAUAACAUCUCUUCAGGCCACACACCCCAUGGUCCUCUCACGAGGCCCUCCGAGCAGCUGGACUAUCUCUCCAGAGUCCAGGGAUUCCAGGUUGAAUACAAAGACUUCCCAAAAACAACAAGAAUGAGUUUGUAUCUCUAAUCAAUUGUUCCUCCCAGCCGCCUCUGAUCAGUCACGGCAUUGGAAAGGAUGUGGAGUCCUGUCAUGAUAUAGCUGCACUGAAUGUCCUGAAGUUGCUGUCGGAGCUGGACCAGCAGAGCGCAGAGCUGUCAAGGACAGGAAACGGGCCGCUGUCCAUGUGUGGGAGGUGCUGAACCUUGACUGUCCAUGAACCAAUAUUAAACCCUGACAUCCAUACUGAAAAUACUGAAACUGCUUUGAAAAAUUGGAAUUUGUGAUACCUCCAGUGCACUGA